GUAUGACUUAAGAAUCUAUUUUAUCCUAGUAUUUUUGUAUUAAGUUAUAAGCAUGCCAGUUUGUAUUCACUUUAUACUGCAUAUCUGAGGAUGUUACUUAAAAAUUUAGUAAAGGGGGCAUGUAAGCUUCCAAUGCAAAUACUGCAAACAA